AUUAUCAUCGUCAAUGUCCAUAAUGACCAUAAAUGACAAACUACCAUUGAGUCAAAGACAUCCGAUGGCCCAUAAAUGACACUGUUGACCGCUCUGUCUCCACUUUGGCUGCUGAGGCAGUUUCACUGACUGUUGGGACAAGUUGCCGCUCAGUGGAGGUAAUAUAAUGAUGUGUUACUCUUAUUGUUAAGGAUUUUGGGGAACUUAUAAAUACCGCUACGAACCUGUUUGGAGUUCCACACAGAUGCUUCAUAAAAGAGGCUACCUAGGUGCAAACCAUAACAUUUCCUAUGACGUACUGGCUAGAGCGAGUUUAAUAGACCCUUUUCAUGGAGAGUUUUUGACAUUUCAAAAGCAGGAAAAGCAUAGGUGUGAAAGACAACACCAACAAUGGCUCCCAUUCAUUAAUUGUCCCAGUAAGCCAUGCCAGUGAGUGAGCAUGCACAAUACCAGAGAACGGCCAACUUUUAUUUUGUAGUUUGUCCAACGCAAUUAACGUUAAUUGCCUACAGCUGGUGAAACCUGCCAGCAACAUUUUAGUUAAAAUGAGAAGCCACUCAUGCUACCCUCUGUCACAUUUAUGUUAUUAAAUGUGGAAAACUGAACAAAGGUUUGGCCUGAAGAAAAAUAAGUCAUCAUGAAAUUCACGUGAAGUCACCAUCAGCCAGCAGGAGGAGGGGGCACCAGGUGUCACCGUUGAGCCCUCUGGAGAUGUUGCAGGUCUACCAACAAAACACCAAGGAAGGAGGGUGCCCACCUGAUGACCCCAGUGAAGCGUUUACCCGCUACCCCCACUCAAGAUUUGGACGAUUCCUACCACUAUGAUGAGUGCCAAAGCGAGAAGUUUUCCUACAGUGAAAACAUCCUGGAUCCUCGUCGCCCAGCGCACACUGGAGCAGUUCACCCAGGUCUGAAGUGUGAUGCUGUGGAUGAGAGAGGGGGCGGUACCAAGCAGCCAAUGGGAACAUCAAACAGCCAACCAGAAUGUCAGCUGGCCAAUGGGAUCCCCCAUCAUUGAUGUGCAAGGUGUCCUGCCCAUUUCCUGUUUCCAUGGUGCUCAGUGACAGGAGCGUCACGGUAACCACAGUGAAACAAUGCACAAUGGCGUAGACACACCCUCUCAUUAGCGGCGUCCACAAAGGCUGGCACCAUUAUGUAGUCUGACACUGAUACUGACACACGAACACGUGAACACACACACACACACACACAAACAAGGGUACAACACAAACACACUCACACAAAGUAGGCCCCUGGCCUAACUAGACUGCAGUUAUAACCUUCUGUCGCCAAAAAUAGUAAAGGUGCACCGACGUGAUCUGUACAUGCUAACCCCCGCCUGACACAUGCACAAGCUCUCACGCGCAGAUACCCAUCCCUCUCCUCAUCUCCCCUUUUCCCUUUCUCCAUCCAGUUCAGACAAGAUCAAACUGGCUGGCUUGUCAACCAGAUACAUGCACAGUCUGUUUUUGCCACUGGCUAUUUAAAUACUGAUUGCUGUACUCCAACAUUUCAAGACCGCCGCUGAUCUGAUUAGAGGCUGGAAAUAGAGCACUGCAUUUCAUAUGGAAUUACCAAAUGACAAUGACAGCUGUCAGCACACUGAACUAUCACAGUAUCAUAAUGUCUUCUAGCUAUGAGAUGAAAGUUGCUGGAUUUGGUUUGAAGAGUUUGUUUUGCCAUUCGUAGUUUUGUGUGUUUUACCUCGCUUGACAUUCAAACAGCUUCUUCACACCUGUUAGCCAUCCAGUCAAAACUGGUCACAACUUCUGCUUUUUGCUUGUUCUUGUUUGUUUCCCUGGCACUUAUAUUUGGUCACGUUGACAUUUAUUUAUUCGACUGUGUGUAUGCUUUGAUCUUUCACCAUGAACUUGCGAUCAGUUGCUGGACAUGUUGAUCUAACAAAGAAGUUACUUCUUCUGUUUACCUCACUGGGAGUUACUCUGGGUCAGACAGUCAGAUGACCUGAAUGUUUAAAGCAAGAGAAGGUUUGAAGUGUGAUACUGUGAAAUAGGAUGUCAUAAUGACGGAGGCAGAGGCUGCGACAGCAAACAGCAAACAGGAAUGUAAACCAGCCAAUCACAGUAUCAAUACACCUAUGGGAUCCUCUGAAAUUGGUUUCUAUGGUGUCCAGCCCACUUUCUCCAGACAGACCACCAGAAAAUCCGUCAACAACUCACCUGAACCCCAAUGAGCCAAUCAAACUGACCAACACACCAGUCAUUGACCAACUUGUCAGUUGGGAAAUAAGCUGAACUCCUGGCAGUCACUGAUGAUCAACAGACAAUCAUAGUCCUGGACCAAGUUUUUUUCACGUCUCAACAUGACAACAAUUCUGUUAACAAACAUUUCACAUUGUCACCAAAUUGUCAAGGUUAUGCUGUAUAAUUUCUGCUUUAACAAACCUAUUAUAUGUAUAAUAUACAUGUAAUAUACAGUGUAUGAAUCAGAAGUGCUCAACCCAUCAACAACAUUGAUGUUUAUGUGGACAUAUUGUCAGAGUCAUCGCGGUACCCACAUGUAUUCUCAGAGCUAAAUGAAGUGGAUUGUCCUUUUCUUCCUGAGAGUUUAGACCUCAUUUCAGCCUCGCUGAUUUAGACACCAAGGACUAUGCAGGCAACACAAUAGUGAUUCUUCCUACACAUGGUUCAUGAAAGCUUUUACAUUAGCCGUUUUAAUGCUGCAUUCCUUAAGUGGAAGGUCAGACAUUCCCAGCUGGUAGGUUGUAUUACAAACUAUGCAGUGCAGUGGCACAGCUCACAACAGUGGUUAACAUGGGCAACCCUGAAGUUUAUAGCUCAAUGAAUAUAGUGUUUUGGUAAAUUCCAGGCCAUGCAAGGCUGAAAAUGAAACUGAAGAUUGUUUUAGGGAAUAUAUACAUUUAAAAAAUAACAUUGCAUAGAGUUUACAAGGAAUUCUGCUAUGUCGACAUGGCACAAGAUGACUGCAUUUUAGAAACCUUGCAGUGAGGAAUUCCUGCACAGGAGUCAUUCUGAGACAUCUUUUCUUACUAAAGUCGGAGUUUUUGACAUCUGACUUCACAUGCAACGCAAAAGACGGAUCCAGUGUCCUCUAGCCUUUACCUGCAAAAAUCCUCUGCUGCACAGGACUUCAUGUGUUCUAAGUUUCAGCAAGAAAAAAACACCACCUUUAGAAACUCAAGCUUCAUCACUAGAAGAUCUGAGGAAAAAGACUAAAAAGUCUUUGACACACUGAUUGACGGAUGAUCUGUGGGAAGCGGAGUGCGGAAACAUCACAGGAAAGCACCAAAAAUAGAGACGAGGGUCUAAACAAAAGAAGUCAUGAAUUAUUACUAAAACUCAUCUGGCAAACUCAAGAGGGGCUGUUUGUG